GACAUUUGGGGAUAUUGGGGAUAGAGGGGAUAUUGGGGACAUUGGGGAUGUCGGGGACAUUUGGGGACAUCGGGGGCAUUGGGGACAUUGGGGGCAUUGGGGAUGUUGGGGACAUUGGGGACAUCAGGGACAUUGGGGACACCUUUGGGAUUUGGGGAUAUUGGGGACAUUUGGGGGCGUUGGGGACAUUUGGGGGUAUUGGGGAUGUUGGGGACACCUUGGGGACCUUGGGGCUACCUUUGGGAUUUAGGGGCACGUUUGGGGGAUGGGGACACCUUGGGGUUUUGGGGACACUCUGGGGGUCUUGGGGAACAUCUCGGGGGACUUGGGGAUGUGUUGGGGAUUUGGGGACACCUUGGGGACAUCUUGAGGGUCUUGGGGACACCAUUAGGGUUUUGGGGCCACCUUUGGGUUUUGGGGUCACCUUUGGGAUUUGGGACCACGUUGGGGCAUUUGGGGGCUUUUGGGGCCACCGUGGGGGUCUUGGGGCCACCUUGGGGACCUUGGGGACAUCUUUGGGAUUUGGGGUCACCUUUGGGUUUUGGGGCCACCUUUGGGUUUGGGGACCACAUUGGGGCAUUUGGGGGGUCUUGAGGCCACCGUGGGGUCUUGUGGCCACCUUGGGGUCUUUGGGGCCACCUUGGGGACAUCUUUGGGAUUUGGGGACACUUUGGGAUUUGGGGCCACCUUUGGGUUUUGGGGCCACCUUUGGGAUUUGGGGCCACCUUUGGGUUUUGGGACCAUAUUGGGGCAUUUGGGGGGUCUUGAGGCCACCGUGGGGGUCUUGGGGCCACCUUGGGGGUCUUGAGGCCACCUUGGGGACCUUGGGGCCACCGCAGGAGAUCGGGGGCAAUGAGGACCCGGCGGGGGUGGUGCUGAAGGACCUGGCGCCCCCCCCGGUGGCGCGGGCGCUGCGCGUGUACCCCCGCGCCCCCCGCGCCAUGAGCGUCUGCCUGCGCCUCGAGCUCUACGGCUGCCCCUGGGACGGUCAGUGUCACCUGGGGGCACCUCAUGUCACCUCAUGUCACCACGGGUCACCUUGGGUCACCUCAUGUCACCUCAUGUCACCUCGGGUCACUUCGGGUCAUCUUGGGUCACCUCAUGUCAUCUUGG
rnacentral:lncRNA from 1 species